GUUUUUUAAUWAAAACUAGAAUGAAAGGUUAUACAUUCAAAUUUCUUUAUUAAUUUUUUAAUAAAUAAUUUAUAUUAAAUAUAAAAAUAUAUUUACAAAAAAAAAAGACGACAAGACCCUAUUAAAUUUUACUUAUAGUUUAGCUGGGGAAGCUUUUCAAUUAAAAUUUUUUUAAAAAAUUAAAUAAAUAUCUAAUAAAAUUAAAAUUUUAAUAAAUUACUAUAGGGAUAACAGCAUUAUAUUUUUUAAAAGUUCAUAUUAAAAAAAAUGAUUGUGACCUCGAUGUUGAAUUAUAUUUUCUAUAUUUAAUGCAAUAAUUAUAUAAGUAGAUCUGUUCGAUCUUUAAAAUAUUACAUGAUUUGAGUUCAAACCGGUGUAAACCAGGUUGGUUUCUAUCUUUUUAUAUAUUUUUCUAGUACGAAAGGACAAAAAAAUUUUUAUUUUAAUAAAUUAGCAAAUAAAUGCAUUAGAUUUAGAAUCUAAAUAUAUAUAUAUAAUU
rnacentral:misc_RNA from 1 species